GCUCCAGACUCCUACGGGAGGCAGCAGUGGGGAAUAUUGCACAAUGGGCGCAAGCCUGAUGUAGCCAUGCCGCGUGUAUGAAGAAGGCCUUCGGGUUGUAAAGUACUUUCAGCGGGGAGGAAGGUGUUGUGGUUAAUAACCACAGCAAUUGACGUUACCCGCAGAAGAAGCACCGGCUAACUCCGUGCCAGCAGCCGCGGUAAUACGGAGGGUGCAAGCGUUAAUCGGAAUUACUGGGCGUAAAGCGCACGCAGGCGGUCUGUCAAGUCGGAUGUGAAAUCCCCGGGCUCAACCUGGGAAUUGCAUCUGAUACUGGUCAGCUAGAGUCUUGUAGAGGGGGGUAGAAUUCCAUGUGUAGCGGUGAAAUGCGUAGAGAUGUGGAGGAAUGCCGGUGGCGAAGGCGGCCCCCUGGACAAAGACUGACGCUCAGGUGCGAAAGCGUGGGGAGCAAACAGGAUUAGAUACCCGAGUA
rnacentral:rRNA from 1 species